rnacentral:rRNA from 1 species
GUGGGGAAUAUUGGACAAUGGGCGCAAGCCUGAUCCAGCAAUGCCGCGUGGGUGAAGAAGGCCUUCGGGUUGUAAAGCCCUUUUGUACGGGAAGAAAUCAUUCGGGUUAAUACCCUGGGUGGAUGACGGUACCGUAAGAAUAAGCACCGGCUAACUACGUGCCAGCAGCCGCGGUAAUACGUAGGGUGCAAGCGUUAAUCGGAAUUACUGGGCGUAAAGCGUGCGCAGGCGGUUUUGUAAGACAGGCGUGAAAUCCCCGGGCUCAACCUGGGAACUGCAUUUGUGACUGUAUAGCUAGAGUACGGUAGAGGGGGAUGGAAUUCCGCGUGUAGCAGUGAAAUGCGUAGAGAUGCGGAGGAACACCGAUGGCGAAGGCAGCCUCCUGGGAUAACACUGACGCUCAGGCACGAAAGCGUGGGGAGCAAACAGGAUUAGAUACCCCGGUAGUCC